UAUCAAAGUCCAUUCCUACCACACCAUAUGAGAUAUGGUUCAAUAAGAAGCCGAGUCUGGGUUAUCUUAAGACUUGGGGACAUCCGGCCUAUGUCAAGAGAUAGAUUACAGAAAAAUUAGAGAAUAGAUCUAUUAUAGCUCACUUUAUAGGAUACCCAAAAAAAUCCAUAGGAAACUACUACUUUCCACAAGAUCACAAUAUAAUUGUGAGUCAAAAUAUCGUGUUCCUAGACAAACAGUUUAUCUAGGAUGGCGGCAG
rnacentral:lncRNA from 1 species